rnacentral:rRNA from 1 species
GCACGAAUGGCGUAAUGAUGGCCAGGCUGUCUCCACCCGAGACUCAGUGAAAUUGAACUCGCUGUGAAGAUGCAGUGUACCCGCGGCAAGACGGAAAGACCCCGUGAACCUUUACUAUAGCUUGACACUGAACAUUGAGCCUUGAUGUGUAGGAUAGGUGGGAGGCUUUGAAGCGUGGACGCCAGUCUGCGUGGAGCCGACCUUGAAAUACCACCCUUUAAUGUUUGAUGUUCUAACGUGGAUCCGUAAUCCGGGUUGCGGACAGUGUCUGGUGGGUAGUUUGACUGGGGCGGUCUCCUCCUAAAGAGUAACGGAGGAGCACGAAGGUUGGCUAAUCCUGGUCGGACAUCAGGAGGUUAGUGCAAUGGCAUAAGCCAGCUUGACUGCGAGCGUGACGGCGCGAGCAGGUGCGAAAGCAGGUCAUAGUGAUCCGGUGGUUCUGAAUGGAAGGGCCAUCGCUCAACGGAUAAAAGGUACUCCGGGGAUAACAGGCUGAUACCGCCCAAGAGUUCAUAUCGACGGCGGUGUUUGGCACCUCGAUGUCGGCUCAUCACAUCCUGGGGCUGAAGUAGGUCCCAAGGGUAUGGCUGUUCGCCAUUUAAAGUGGUACGCGAGCUGGGUUUAGAACGUCGUGAGACAGUUCGGUCCCUAUCUGCCGUGGGCGCUGGAGAACUGAGGGGGGCUGCUCCUAGUACGAGAGGACCGGAGUGGACGCAUCACUGGUGUUCGGGUUGUCAUGCCAAUGGCACUGCCCGGUAGCUAAAUGCGGAAGAGAUAAGUGCUGAAAGCAUCUAAGCACGAAACUUGCCCCGA